rnacentral:rRNA from 1 species
AGGAAUAUUGGUCAAUGGGCGAGAGCCUGAACCAGCCAAGUAGCGUGAAGGAUGACUGCCCUAUGGGUUGUAAACUUCUUUUAUAAAGGAAUAAAGUCGGGUAUGGAUACCCGUUUGCAUGUACUUUAUGAAUAAGGAUCGGCUAACUCCGUGCCAGCAGCCGCGGUAAUACGGAGGAUCCGAGCGUUAUCCGGAUUUAUUGGGUUUAAAGGGAGCGUAGAUGGAUGUUUAAGUCAGUUGUGAAAGUUUGCGGCUCAACCGUAAAAUUGCAGUUGAUACUGGAUAUCUUGAGUGCAGUUGAGGCAGGCGGAAUUCGUGGUGUAGCGGUGAAAUGCUUAGAUAUCACGAAGAACUCCGAUUGCGAAGGCAGCCUGCUAAGCUGCAACUGACAUUGAGGCUCGAAAGUGUGGGUAUCAAACAGGAUUAGAUACCCUGGUAGUCCACACGGUAAACGAUGAAUACUCGCUGUUUGCGAUAUACUGCAAGCGGCCAAGCGAAAGCGUUAAGUAUUCCACCUGGGGAGUACGCCGGCAACGGUGAAACUCAAAGGAAUUGACGGGGGCCCGCACAAGCGGAGGAACAUGUGGUUUAAUUCGAUGAUACGCGAGGAACCUUACCCGGGCUUAAAUUGCAGAUGAAUUACGGUGAAAGCCGUAAGCCGCAAGGCAUCUGUGAAGGUGCUGCAUGGUUGUCGUCAGCUCGUGCCGUGAGGUGUCGGCUUAAGUGCCAUAACGAGCGCAACCCUUGUUGUCAGUUACUAACAGGUUCCGCUGAGGACUCUGACAAGACUGCCAUCGUAAGAUGUGAGGAAGGUGGGGAGGACGUCAAAUCAGCACGGCCCUUACGUCCGGGGCUACACACGUGUUACAAUGGGGGGUACAGAGGGCCGCUACCACGCGAGUGGAUGCCAAUCCCCAAAACCUCUCUCAGUUCGGACUGGAGUCUGCAACCCGACUCCACGAAGCUGGAUUCGCUAGUAAUCGCGCAUCAGCCACGGCGCGGUGAAUACGUUCCCG